UCAAUUUUUGCAGCCCCUUUGUUUCGCACGACACUUCCCCCUUUUUCCUUGCUUUAAUUCUCCUUUACUGCCAACUUUCCAUUUCCAUCAUAUUUAAAUGCCUCAAUCUCCUCCCGUAAAAUCUCACCAGAUUCGUCCAAUCUUGGCUCCUCAAGAUCCAUCAAGGCAUCAAAAUGAGAGCCUGCAUCCAAGGGCCAAAACAAUUUUGGUCAGCUGCCAAUUUCUCACCCAACGACGGAGUCAACUGGGAAUCACUCACAGUAUGCUGUUCUUCCACCCUAUCCUCUACUAUUGACGAGCAUUCAUCUUACCCGUGGCCAUAGCAUCUACACUUGUAGCAAAUCGAAGGAAGCCUCUCAUACUCAACACAAAAUGAGGUACCAUCAAUUCCACAAAUACUUUCAAUGGUUUCAUCAAAUCCACCACCACGGCAAACCUCGCAAAUUUCCCUCGUUUCCCAACUGUUGUAUUAUAAUUAACCUUCACCACUUUCCCUAGUGUCCCUACUAUGAGACGCAACAACUUCUUAUUGUAGAACUUGUAACACGACGAUUUUUGAAGGGUGUUUCUCCUUCGUAAAGAAGUCACGGCUCCAAGGCUAAACCGUAAGAUAGUUACCAUAGACUACCCAAGGUCCCUUUGUUAGAGCUUUGGUGUAAUCUUGAUACACAACAAACUUCACAAGGUAGUAGUCACUAUCGAUAUCAAUAACUUGGGACGAACCCAUAGGCUUCCAAAGAAUUUGAAUUAUGUUAAAUAGUGCUUUAUAACCGAUCGACUCCAUGUUCCUAUCCAGUAUUUCCUGUACUCGAUCGGAGAACAUCUCUGGAUAAUGGCCAUCCAAAGAGACUUUGACAUCCCCUUCCAAAAUCUCAUAACCGUCAUUCUCUAACCCUUCAUCUACACCAAUGCCCCCAACAUUCGCCAUUAGCUUCUAUUUGAAUGGCACUUUCCCAGUGUCCUCCACAGACAACUCUUUUGGAGGGAACUCCUUCCAAUUCUUGUUUCGCACUUUCUUGGUUGCCCGUUCAAUCCCUGACGGGAUCGGCGAGCUAGGACGUUCAAGGGUCAAUGAAAUUGCAGCAGCUGAAUUCACCGUUGACAUGUGGAAAUUUUUUUUUGAUUAAUUAAUCUUAUUACUAAUACUAUGCUCAGCUUUCCUUUGGGUGCUUUUGCUAUUAUUUCUGCCCUA